AGAAUCAACGCUGGCGGCGUGCCUAACACAUGCAAGUCGAACGGUGAAGCCUUUCGGGGUGGAUCAGUGGCGAACGGGUGAGUAACACGUGGGCAAUCUGCCCUGCACUCUGGGACAAGCCCUGGAAACGGGGUCUAGUACCGGAUAUGACCGUCUUCCGCAUGGUGGAUGGUGUAAAGCUCCGGCGGUGCAGGAUGAGCCCGCGGCCUAUCAGCUUGUUGGUGGGGUGAUGGCCUACCAAGGCGACGACGGGUAGCC
rnacentral:rRNA from 1 species